rnacentral:rRNA from 1 species
UACAGAGGGUGCGAGCGUUAAUCGGAGUUACUGGGCGUAAAGGGCGCGUAGGCGGUAGUAUGAGUGUGAUGUGAAAGCCCCGGGCUUAACCUGGGAAGUGCAUCGCAAACGAUAUUACUGGAGUAUAUGAGAGGGUGGCGGAAUUUCCGGUGUAGCGGUGAAAUGCGUAGAGAUCGGAAGGAACGUCGAUGGCGAAGGCAGCCACCUGGCAUAAUACUGACGCUGAAGCGCGAAAGCGUGGGGAUCGAACAGGAUUAGAUACCCUGGUAGUCCACGCUGUAAACGAUGAGGACUAGAUGUUUGUAGGGGAACCUAUGAGUAUCGAAGCAAACGCGAUAAGUCUUCCGCCUGGGAAGUACGGCCGCAAGGUUGAA